AUACAAGUUCACUGGAUCUAUUCUCGAUUUUAAUCGAUUCUAUGGGAUGUUUGAGGCACAGGUUGAUAAGUCCAACACGGCAACAGUUACUAAGUUCGCAUACUUAAAAGAGCUUCUGGAUCCUAAAGUGAAAUCAUUGAUAGAUGGGUUGCCUUUUAACAAUGAGGGCUAUGCUAAAAUCACACAAAAAACUGCUUACUUUGAGCGCUUCGGUCCAUCUUUAGGUGUGAAAAAUCCGCGAGGAGGCGCGUGUUACUGUUGCGACAGAGUGAGAAUCGGGGGUCUGGGAUCUAGUCAAAUAUAGCAACAGACCCAGUCCUAACGCGGAUUUUGUUGUUUUUCCCGCGAAUAUAGCACAGAUUUUGAUGUCUUUCUCAGAAAAAAAACUUAUAAAAGUCGACUUACAUGCUGUGUGAUUUAUUUUUGUAGGCUCAGACAGUGACUGCUGUUGCUGGCGAUGUAGAGAAUCAAGGAGUUGUUUCCACGAAGUUAUGCGCGAAUUCGAAGCCUCCAUAAAAGACGAAACUGGAGAAGAAAGGACGCCCGAACGUUUGCGCCUCUUUUUACUAGAGCAAAGCUAGGAUGUUGAUUUUACUGAUGUAAACGCGAGGCGGUAUAUUUACAGGACACUGUUCCAGUUUCUGGCGAGAGAGCGUAGAAUUGGGAAUGGGAGGUCCCUUGUGUACCCUCAGCUAUUGUUAGAUGUUAUCCGCGAACUGUAUCCGGAAGGGUUGAAAAACCAUCCUCCGAGAUCUAACAAGGGAAACCAAUUUUAUGCAAUAUCAUUAGAAGAGAUCGUUGAGGAAUAUAAUAACUGAAGAGAUGGACAAUAUACCAGCCACCACAAAGUUCUGUUAGAAAAGGCCCUUUACUUUAGGGUCUGUUGCAAGAUUUUAGCUAACAAAAAUAAGUACUCAAUGACACUGUAUCUCAUAGAAUCAGCAUGUUUUCUUCGAUUAUUCUUCAAUACAUUUCUAUAACAAACUUUAUGUAUAAGCUGUUUGACUAAAAAAGCAUGAACAGUAACAUUGAUGAUAAGAAAUAAAUAAAUAGUUAUUUCAUUUUCUGUUA